rnacentral:lncRNA from 1 species
GGGAGAGGGGAGAUAAGGAAAGGGGAGAGGAGAAGGGACGGUGUGAUGGUAUGGGAGUGGGGAAAAAGGGUGGGGGAGUAGUGCGACUUGGUGGGAGACCGAGAAAGGAGAAGGGGAGUCAGUUGGGGUGGGUGAGGGGAAAAAGUGUGACGAUUGAGACGGAAAGAGGCCGGCAAUGUGCAAAGGUGAUGGCUAUGGGGGUCAGGAUUGAGGAGCAAGAGAAAAGGUAGGAGGAAGGGAGAGAGUGGGGCGACGAGGGUGGCCGGAUUAUAGAGGGUAAAGAAGUGGUAACGACUAGAGUAUGUUGGGAUGGUAGGGGAAGAAGAUAAAACAGAUGAAAAGAAAAUGGGCUAGGGUUUUUUUAAGGGUGACACAGUCGUGUAAAGGCCCGUGUUAGGCCACACGGCCAU